CAACGAUGUCAGUGAUGACACCGUGAAUUGUAAGAAGUCAGCAGAAGUCAUAGUAGUCGAGAGACGAAGGAC
rfam:Bacillus cellulosilyticus DSM 2522, complete genome.